UCGACCUCACAUCAGGCGA
rnacentral:rRNA from 2 species